GUAUAGGAUUUAUGGGCCUUGUAAAGAGCCCAGACUGACAUUCAAUAUCAUACAUUGAGUUGAUAAGACAUAGACCAGGCUAUCCAAGGACAGCCAGAGGCAGAUCCUCAAUCACAGGAGUGCAGAGCACACCUGCAUGGUGACAACCUGGUCUACAGAAAGUGCACAGGUGGAAGGGAGAAUGAAACAAUGGCAGGCGUGCACAUGCCUCCGAGGAGACCAGCAACAACCCACACAAGUUUAUUCACUAAUGAUCCUUCCGCAGGUUCACCUACGGAAA
rnacentral:misc_RNA from 1 species